GUCAUUGGAAAUGAUUUCUGGAUAAUUUUGUUUAGCAUUAUCGCCAGGUUAGGAGCCUCUUCUUUAAAAAACCAGCUGGUUUUUCUCGAGAAAUGUUCAUCUAGGGCACCGUGAAGUUCCUUUCGGAAAGAUUCUUCGAGUGGCAGUGGAACAACCGGCCGACCUCGCUGUUUCCCGUGAGUGGACAACCGAACCGUCGACUGGGCGUAUUGAAAACAUCAAGCUUCGCCGAACCGGAUCCGGUCCUCCGUCGUAUGAUGACGCAUGAGGAAGGCGAACCAGCUUCCGGCUCGUGGCCGUCCAGCCACAUUAAGACAAAUAUUUACACUGAGAUCUGCUGAAGAUGGUGGUGUCAUCUACGAUAGAGGACCAGGUUCGCCUCCGAAUCCGAAGCUGCUCGACGCUGAACCACCCGAGGCUGCACAACAAGUUUGAGGACCACCACGACUCUCACCACUUCGCUAAGUCCCGUUAUCAUCCGGGCCGUCUAUUAUCGCCUACAAGAUAGCACUAAGGAUGCUCAACUCGCAAACGAAGGCCAAAGCGUACAACAGCCAGUUGAUCCGGUUUGGGUGUCCAACGGAAGUCACCCGCGGAGGCCAAAACGGUGGAUAACAUCAAGCAGUUCUACUGCCAACCUCUCCGCGAAUCGACGUCGAAAACGUCGACCUGGUCAUCAACGGAAAUCCGCGACAGCGGGCUGGAACCGGUUUCUGAGGUGGCACCUGAACUGGACGAACAGGACGAAAAAAGGAUGAAUCGGCGUGGGGCGACCUGUUUCUGGCUGCGUUGGAAAACGCGAGCUGGGCAAGUGUAAGGAAGUUGGCAGAAUCGAACACGGAUAAGCUGAUAAGGAUUCGCUAUAAAUCAUCUGUUCCGAUGAG